rnacentral:rRNA from 1 species
UGCGUAGGCGGAAUGAUAAGUUAGUGGUGAAAGCCCCCGGCUCAACCGGGGAACUGCCAUUAAUACUGUCAUUCUUGAGUAUAGUUGAAGUGGGCGGAAUGUAUCAUGUAGCGGUGAAAUGCUUAGAUAUGGUACAGAACACCGAUAGCGUAGGCAGCUUGCUAAACUAUAACUGACGCUCAGGCACGAAAGCGUGGGGAGCAAACAGGAUUAGAUACCCUGGUAGUCC